GAUCCUGGCUCAGAUUGAACGCUAGCGGGAUGCUUUACACAUGCAAGUCGAACGGCAGCACGAGAGAGCUUGCUCUCUUGGUGGCGAGUGGCGGACGGGUGAGUAAUAUAUCGGAACGUGCCCAGUAGCGGGGGAUAACUACUCGAAAGAGUGGCUGAUACCGCAUACGCCCUACGGGGGAAAGGGGGGGAUUCUUCGGAACCUCUCACUAUUGGAGCGGCCGAUAUCGGAUUAGCUAGUUGGUGGGGUAAAGGCUCACCAAGGCAACGAUCCGUAGCUGGUUUGAGAGGACGACCAGCCACACUGGGACUGAGACACGGCCCAGACUCCUACGGGAGGCAGCAGUGGGGAAUUUUGGACAAUGGGGGAAACCCUGAUCCAGCCAUCCCGCGUGUAUGAUGAAGGCCUUCGGGUUGUAAAGUACUUUUGGCAGAGAAGAAAAGGUAUCCCCUAAUACGGGAUACUGCUGACGGUAUCUGCAGAAUAAGCACCGGCUAACUACGUGCCAGCAGCCGCGGUAAUACGUAGGGUGCAAGCGUUAAUCGGAAUUACUGGGCGUAAAGCGUGUGUAGGCGGUUCGGAAAGAAAGAUGUGAAAUCCCAGGGCUCAACCUUGGAACUGCAUUUUUAACUGCCGAGCUAGAGUAUGUCAGAGGGGGGGUAGAAUUUCC
rnacentral:rRNA from 1 species